rnacentral:tRNA from 1 species
GCGUCGGUGGCACAAUGGUUAGGACUCUUGCCCAACAUGCAUAUGGUCCGGGGUUCGAUCCCUUGCCGACGCG